rnacentral:tRNA from 1 species
AAAAUCCGUCGACUUUAGAAAUCGUGAGGGUUCAAGUCCCUCUAUCCCCCCAAAAAGACCGAUUUGACUAUKUCUCCUACCCUCUCUUUUUUUUAGUGGUUCCAAAUUUGUUCUCUUUCUCAUUCAUUCUACCUUUUUACAAACGUAUCAGAGCAGAAUUUUUUUCUUUUAUCACAAUCACAAGUGGUGUGGUAUAUAUGAUAUACGUACAAAUGAACAUCUUUGAACAAAGAAUCCCGAUUCACAAUUCAUAUCAUUGCUCAUACUGAAACUUAUAAAUUAUUCUAUUCAAGAAAUCUAAUUCCACGCUCAAGACUUUUAAUACUUUUUUUAUCUUUUUUAAUUGACAUAGACCCCAGUCAUCUAGUAAAAUAAGGAUGAUGCGCCGGUAAUGGUCGGGAUAGCUCAGCUGGUAGAGCAGAGGACUGAAAAUCCUCGUGUCACCAGUGCAAUAUC